rnacentral:sRNA from 1 species
GCUGGGCACAGUGGUGCAUGCCUGUAAUGCCAGCAACUCGGGAGGCUGAGGCAGGAGGAUCGCGAGUUCAAACCUAGCCUCAGCAACUUAGUGAGACCCUAAGCAACUAAGCAGGACCCUGUCUCUA